CAGUGGUGUGACUGGUCCUUUAACCUGUGAUAUAUUGGUUGUUCGCAACAAAGCUAUCUAGUUUGACUGCAUAUUCUCUUGGUCUCUAGCCAUUCGGGUCCUUACUGUGUAUGUUAGCUAUUGUAGGUUCAGGUUCGCUGUUUGGAGUAGCAUGCACCUAGAUGGAAUCUAUCAAUCUUGGUAGAAAAGAAAAAGUCUUAUACGAUUCAUAAGAU
rnacentral:lncRNA from 1 species